UACGUAGGGGGCUAGCGUUGUCCGGAAUCAUUGGGCGUAAAGCGCGUGUAGGCGGUCCGGUAAGUCCGCUGUGAAAGUCGGGGGCUCAACCCUCGGAUGCCGGUGGAUACUGGAUGGCUUGAGUUCGGGAGAGGGAUGCGGAAUUCCAGGUGUAGCGGUGAAAUGCGUAGAUAUCAGGAGGAACACCGGUGGCGAAGGCGGCUCUCUGGGUCUGUCCUGACGCUCAGGCGCGAAAGCUAGGGGAGCAAACAGG
rnacentral:rRNA from 1 species